CCUCCCUCUCUAAACAAGGUAAAGGGUGAGGAGAGGGGAGACGAGGGGGAGAAAAGGAGGUUUUGAGGGUUGGGGCGAGUGGGUCCUCCUCUCUAAUCAAGGUAAAGGUUGAGGGUUGGGGCGAGUGGGUCCUCCUCUCUAAUCAAGGUAAAGGUUGAGGGUUGGGGCGAGUGGGUCCUCCUCUCUAAUCAAGGUAAAGGGUGACGAGGGGGGAGAAAAGGAGGUUUUGAGGGUUGGGGCGAGUGGGUCCUCCUCUCUAAUCAAGGUAAAGGGUGAGGGUUGGGGCGAGUGGGUCCUCCUCUCUAAUCAAGGUAAAGGGUGAGGGUUGGGGCGAGUGGGUCCUCCUCUCUAAUCAAGGUAAAGGGUGAGGGUUGGGGCGAGUGGGUCCUCCUCUCUAAUCAAGGUAAAGGGUGAGGGUUGGGGCGAGUGGGUCCUCCUCUCU